rnacentral:rRNA from 1 species
CUAUACAUGACUCUGCGCAUAUCAAUAAGCGGAGGAAAAGAAACUAACAAGGAUUCCCUUAGUAAUGACGAGUGAAGCGGGAAGAUCUUACUCGCUUGCGCUAUUUUACCUACGCUUAGGAUGUUGAAGAUAUGCGCGACACGACUCUAUACAUGACUCUGCGCAUAUCAAUAAGCGGAGGAAAAGGCAUAAACAUCAGUAUACCUACGCUUAGGAUGUUGAAGAUAUGCGCGACACGACUCUAUACAUGACUCUGCGCAUAUCAAUAAGCGGAGGAAAAGAAACUAACAAGGAUUCCCUUAGUAACGGCGAGUGAAGCGGGAAGAGCUCAAAUUUGAAAUCUUCAAGGUUCUACCUUGACGAAUUGUAGUUUAUAGAAGUGUUUUCUGUUAGUGGAGUGGCAAAAGUUCUUUGGAAUAGGACAUCAUAGAGGGUGAGAAUCCCGUAUUUGGUCAUUCCUCCUAGCGUUGUGAUACACUUUCAACGAGUCGGAUUGUUUGGGAAUGCAGUCCAAAAUGGGUGGUAAAUUUCAUCUAAAGCUAAAUAUUGGCGAGAGACCGAUAGCGAACAAGUACCGUGAGGGAAAGAUGAAAAGAACUUUGAAAAGAGAGUUAAACAGUACGUGAAAUUGUCAAAAGGGAAGCGUUUGACACCAGUGUUGUUUAGUUGAAAAUCAAUUACGAAUGUUUUGUUUUUAAGGAGUUAUGACUUCAUCGGCUUGCUCCUUUCUUUAUGAAACUUUCUUAAUGCACUUUUCGGUUAACAAGUCAACAUCAAUUUCUUUUGUUGUAAAAGGGUAUGAGGAAGGUGGCUUUCUUUUCGGAGAAAGUGUUUAUAGCCUUGUGCCUCUGCAAUCGGAGAGAUUGAGGUCUGCAGCGUAGAUCCUUCGGGGUUAGAUACGUUUGUGCUAAGUUAUAGCUUUUCAUAGACAACUUGUUGACUAUGUUUAGUCUUGUAGCUUACUCGCUUACGCUAUUUUACCUACGCUUAGGAUGUUGAAGAUAUGCGCGACACG